CGCAGACGCACUGACGUAACGCAUCAUAUAAGUGAGCUUGGAGCAGGAGGUUUCCUCCUUUUACCGGUCUUUUCUUCGUGAGUAGUUGUAUCAAGGUUACGACCUUACUGCUGAAUGUGAUGGGGAGCAGUUCAUCUUGAAGUUUGUGAUGACCCUCCAGGACAUGAGGUGCUGGAGAAUACCUCAGGCCAGCUGGGGUUCCUCUGUCCAGGCCUUCAGCACUGCUGGAACAAGGUGGACUUCUAGAUGAAUCUCUAAGAUGUCUAAAGCAAACAGGAUGCACCUUACCACAGUUUGGAGAGCCACCCCGGGAGGCUGUGAAUGUCCACAUCUGAAUGAAAGUGUUCCUGCUCCAAUAACGCCAUGUGCUUCUGGUCCUGUGUACAUGUCUCACUCUGUACUGCCAAACUGUCACCCAGCUUGUGCUGCUGCAGAGAACAGCCUUCUGUUCUCAGGCUCCAGCAAGGAUUCAACAACCAAGGCUGCGGCGAUGAGACGCAUGAACUUGUGGCAGCGUUAUUGAGGUUGCCAUGGUUGCACAGGAAGCCACAGCACCGGGUCAAGAGAAGAAAACCUUUGAGAGACUGGCUGUGACCCUGUCAGCAUCAGCGAUACGGAGGCGGCCACCAGUGGCCACUGCUCACUCUG